GGGUGCGUAACGCGUAUGCAAUCUACCUUUUACAGAGGGAUAGCCCAGAGAAAUUUGGAUCAAUACCUCAUAGUAUUAUUGAAUGGCAUCAUUUAGUAAUUAAAGUCACAACGGUAAAAGAUGAGCAUGCGUCCCAUUAGCUUGUUGGUAAGGUAACGGCUUACCAAGGCAACGAUGGGUAGGGGUCCUGAGAGGGAGAUCCCCCACACUGGUACUGAGACACGGACCAGACUCCUACGGGAGGCAGCAGUGAGGAAUAUUGGUCAAUGGGCGCAAGCCUGAACCAGCCAUGCCGCGUGCAGGAUGACGGUCCUAUGGAUUGUAAACUGCUUUUGUACAGGAAGAAACAUCUCUACGUGUAGAGACUUGACGGUACUGUAAGAAUAAGGAUCGGCUAACUCCGUGCCAGCAGCCGCGGUAAUACGGAGGAUCCAAGCGUUAUCCGGAAUCAUUGGGUUUAAAGGGUCCGUAGGCGGUUUUGUAAGUCAGUGGUGAAAGCCCAUCGCUCAACGGUGGAACGGCCAUUGAUACUGCAAGACUUGAAUUAUUGGGAAGUAACUAGAAUAUG
rnacentral:rRNA from 1 species